CUCCGCCUCCGGGUCCGCCGCAUCCGCGCCGGCGGCGCCCUCCGCCCUGACGCGCGCCGCUUCCCCCUCUGCCGGACGCCGUGCCCCACGGACCGAGCGACCUCCGGCCUCCGGGUCCGCUGAGGUCACGGCGGACGGAGGAGGCGAGCAGGAAGGGGAGAGGGAGAAGGGGGGCGCCGCGCGGGCCUCCGCCACCGCCUAGCCGGUGGGCCUACGCCGCCGCAGAUCCGCCCGAGGCCGGCCGAGUUCACAGGCGAGCAGAUUCGGCGAGGUCGAGGUUGGCCGAGCUCGAGGCCGGCCAAGCCCCCCGUGCCCCUCCUCCGGUGUCCCCCUGCGCUCCUCGCAGCCUCCGCGCUCCCUCCACCGCCUCCUCGCCGCGGCGGGGCGGGGCGGCCGCCACUGCGUGCUCCGGCCAGCGCUGCUCGCCGGCACCAGUGAGCUGCGAUGCCUCUCGCCCGCUCCGGCCGCCGCGCGCCCAUGCCUUUCGCCCGCGCAGGCUGCCGUGGCCACCCUUGCCCCCAUCGCCAAGCUCCCCAGCUACGGCGCCCGGCUCUAGAUCGACGGAGAUGGCCGGAUUUGGUGGGCCCGGCUCCCCAGCUACGGCGCCCAGCUCUAGAUCGACGGAGAUGGCCGGAUUUGGUGUGCCAGGCUCCCCUUUGCCACUCACACCCCCUUCUUCUUCCUUAUCCGUCCAUGGGAAAAGUUCUUCCUAGGGUUGGAUUGUCUCAGCAGCUUUUGAUGGCGGUGUAGGGGGAGCGUCCGCCGGUGCUCCUUCCCCAGCGGGCGGAGUCGCUGCCGCGGCCGGAGCGCGCAGUUCGGAGGCGCGGCAGCUCAAGCCACCGCCAUGGCCAGCCUUGCAGCCCAUCGCGGUGGUGUUGGUGGUCAGCCCUUUGGAACCUGAAAUAUACAUUCCCAGUGAGUGCAAUGUACACCAUGGUACUGACUUAUGAUUUGCGUGAGAAGCAUUCGAGGUCUUGGAAUCGUAAGACGUAAGCUGACUAAGAAUGGAGAUCCCUUCUUCUUUCUCAAUUCGAUUAUUUUGUAUCAAUUUUCCUUCUUUCUUCUUUCGUUCUGUACAAGAUUCAGGGAUUGGAGUAUGAGCGAGAGCAGGGAUCAUGGUUGGCCAUCACAAUUGAGCUGGGAGAAUGAUUGAAUCAUCUACUGGUUUCAGAUAGGGAGGGAAUGGUGAGCUGCCGCUGCAGAUAGGGGUCAAUGGACACUUGCUGCAGAUAGGGAAUUGUUUCAGACUUUGAAAGAAUGGGCAGAAACAAUCCAUCAUUGAUCAAGUCUCUGAAAAUAUUUACCAGUUUACUGGGUCCAAGAGCUAGCAGAACACGAGUUGUGACAUGGACCACAUGAAUAUGAGGAAGACAUUGACAAUUCACCCUUGGUUCAGGCUUGUGUGGCUACUCUUAUUGAGUUUAUCUCACCACUUUGUGCCGAAUUAUGGAAGGAAGAAAGGACAAAAGAAUGGCAUUCAGAGCAACAAUUGAGCAAGCACAACUGAUCUAUGUGUGGGUUGGAUGCAACACAGCAAAAUUUGUCCAUCUGCUGCAACCACUAGGCCUAUAAGUGGAUAACAGAGUGAGUGUCAUCUCUGUACUAGGAGGAACAUGUGACAACACCGGAUCAGGGAUGGCCCGCCAUCUAGGUACUGCUUCUAUUGUCAUUUAACUAAUUGCCUUGCACUUAUGGUAGCUUAUUAACAACAACAAGCUUUACGUCACUUCAUGUUUCAAUGAUGAAAACUGGGUCUAAACAUAGUCCUGGCAUGCAACAUCCCAAAAGACAGCCCCAUGCUUGAGGCUGUUGCGGAGAGGAAGCUGGUGGAGAAGCUGAAAGGUUUGGGCUACAUGAUGCCCAUAGCUGGGGAGGCUAAUACUUCCACUGCACAGUGAUAGGUGGUGUGAUCUGGUGAGGCUUCGCUCAAAGGCGUAGUUUUCGCCAUGCAGGAGGAACACUUGUUAUUGUUGCUUGGCUCAAUUGACUAGGUACCUGUACAAUGUGGCAAAUGUGUUCUGAAUUAUAGUGCCUUCCAGGGCUCUUGCACAAACGAUAGCCUGCCAUUGACGUGGAUGCUCUGAAACUGGAAUCGCUGAACAUGUUGAGUUUUUACUCCUAGAAUGCAAAUUGAUCGAUGCCUUGCAACAUUGAAGUCCUGUGCUGAGCAUGGCAGUUUGUAUUAUGAUAUUUCAACACUAUUCUUGAGAGCCAAAGGAGCUUGCAUUUGAAGUUUCUGUGUAUUUUAUAGGUUGUACGGGGCAACAAAUUUGCUUGACGAAUAGAAUACGGAAUACCUCCUUACUGA